CUAGAUGGUCGGAUGAUCGCUAUGGAAAUAGAGGAAAGUCCGGGCUCCACGGAGGAACAGUGCCGGAUAACAUCCGGCGGAGGAAACUCUAGGGAAAGUGCAGCAGAAAAUAUACCGCCAUUAUGAGUAUGGUAAGGGUGAAAAGGUGUGGUAAGAGCACACCGCAUUAAUGGUAACAUUGAUGGCAUUGUAAACCCCACUGGGAGCAAGACCAAAUAGAGGUGGUAAUUGUCCUUCGCAUUAUACCAUCUGGGUAGGUCGCUUGAGUCAUUUGGUAACUUAUGACCUAGAUGAAUGAUCAUAAUACAAAACCCGGCUUAUAGACCAUCUAGCAUU
rfam:Rhizobiales bacterium TMED25 MHASMcontig_789834, whole genome shotgun sequence.